rnacentral:misc_RNA from 1 species
CAAGUGCAGGAAAUAUUAUGGAAGAGAGCAAAAAAAAAAGACGGUAAACACACAAGUGCACGACACCCUACGAUACAAACAACUUGAGGGAUCGUCGAGCCACCGCUAUCCAACUCUAUCCCCAUCCCCGCUGUCGUAGUUUUUUUUUGGGGAGGGGUUGUUUUCCUCUCCUUUGAGACGGCCACUCCUGUGCGCCUCUUGAAGCCCCUGUGACGUCAUCGCCCGCCCUCGUUGCUUCGCACUUCAAGCGUCAACGUGACCGUUCCUGUCUAGCGCCGAUGCCGAUUUGGUCUCUUAGCACCACCAAGCACGCGGCUGUCGAGCUCGACUCCGGCAAUGAGGAUGCAAGUAGCAGCAGGAGUAGCAGUAGUGGCAGUGACCACAGCGGCUCCGAUACGGGCAGCAGUCGCUCCAGAUCCUACGCGGGGUAUCAACCGGGUGGGAGGCCGGGAUCACCGCGAUUUCCGCCCCCGUGGUACACCCCCGAGGAUCUACCGUCUCGACCCCAGGACACGUCGCUUCACAUCAAUCGCUUCACCGCUGGAGCGGCACAGCGAGCCAUCACGGCGCCAGCGGUAUGUACGCUCCUGAUGAGACCCUCUUCGCCUGCUGCGACCGUGCAGGCAACUCAUCAGCGUGUGCAGAGCGCACAGGAGCGGCAUGUACGUAGGGAGUACGCCUCUGGCGUGAACACGCCGCGAGUUCUAUCUGUGCGCAGCAGCAGAGGCGGCUCAUUUGCCUUUGCACCACAGGUGCUAGAAAAGUACAACACCAUGAACAUUCUCGUGCUAGGUGCACCGCAGGUGGGCAAGUCGCUCUUUAUCAACUCGUAUCGGGCUGCCAUCACGAACACGACGCGGUGGCCAGCCGCCCCGGUGGGCAUCUCUGGCUUUUACGGCACCACCACGGUGGAGCCGUUCCCAAAUCAUGCGCGGCAGCCAACGUGGCUUUGUAUCGAUACACCGGGUAGCCUCUACACCGAGAAGCACGCGGUUAUCCUGGAAAAGCUGACCAAGGGAAUGCCCUGGAAAACGAAAUUGAAGGGCCCCAAUGCUCUCACGCUCCCCCAAAUCAAAGACAUGUCCCCUAUCGCUGCCAACAAGGCGCAUCAGUGCAUUAUCGUCGUACCCGCCACAGACCUGAUCGAGGACGAUGGAUGGGUCAACACGUUCCUGUGGCGCAAUCGAUACCGCCCUGCUGACGGCGUUGCCGACAUCGUCUUCUACCUCAAGGGCCUCAUUUCAUCUCUGCGCGCCCUCAUGGAUGAUGCAUCGCCGUUUGUUGUGGUAACCAAGAUGGAUAAAGUUGGCGGGGCGGGUAACAGCGGCGCGUGCGCUGCUCUCGUUUCCAUUCUCGGUCAGUGCGUCCCCGUGAAUCGUGUCUACUUCACGGCAGCCGUCGAGAAUCGAGCGCUCCUCGCAACGGGGCGUACCAUGGUGCUGGAAAGCAGCACCAAACAGAAUCUGGUGCGGCUGCACGAGGACAUCUGCCUCGCCGUGCAGUGGCGCAGUCAAGUGGACGCCAUGUAGCACAGUGAUGCGGGCAAAAAGGAGCAGAUCGGCGCCGUAUCACAGUUGACGCUCGCGCACCAGUCGCAGGGCAGCCCUGCUAUACAGGGGCUUUUGCUCGAGCGGCGAAGGGCAGGAGCGUGCGCGCCUUUCAUAGCACCUCGAACUUCUAAGGUGCCCCAAGUCCAUCUCCCCUUUCCGCGUCCGCCAUCAGCGCCUCUGCUGUCUGCGUGUGGCUCUCGCGCUUCACUCUUUUUUGCCGUUUCGUCCGGCGCUCCCCGCGGCAGAGAAAGCAUGUAGUUGCUACCCACACUGCUCGUCCUUUGCGCCUUUCGAGGCCCCCCCUCCUCCCCCCUUCUCAGCAUGGAAGUGCGUGUGUGCGUGUGUGCCGGCCCACAGGCCGGAGGGCCACUUUGUCUGCGCACUCGUUGCUACCGAAAAGAGCGAAGUCGGUGCUGCAAAAGUGUUUUUCGUGUCGUUUUGCGACGAAGGGGAACGUAGCGGAUCCCCCCGACAAAAGACGCGUCGUCGCCUAACGUGUCCUGAUGCGCUCUCUCCCCUUCACUUUUUCGCUUUUUGUUCGAGCGCCAAAAAGAGUGACGCAGGGCACUCACCUGAACGGCAUCCGUUGGAUUCCGCCUCAAAUGCAGCAUUGUGCGAUGGCAGCGCCGCAUCGUGCGUGGCCCACGUCCCUGCCGCGCUCUUCAGUUCUGUCUUCGUUCAG